GUUGCUUCUUAUGGUGAACCCUCCCUUUUUGAAUGGGAGAUGUUCAAGUUUCCGAAGCAUAUACAAAUGAUUCUUCACGAAUAGCCAGUUUUAAACAGCGUGGUGCAAUCUGCACCAUGCUACCUGUCUCCUGGUACAUUU